CAGGAUAGGUGGGAGGCUUUGAAGUGUGGACGCCAGUCUGCAUGGAGCCGUCCUUGAAAUACCACCCUUUAAUGGCUGGUGUUCUAACGUAGACCCGUGAACCGGGUUGCGGACAGUGUCUGGUGGGUAGUUUGACUGGGGCGGUCUCCUCCUAAAGCGUAACGGAGGAGCACGAAGGUUGGCUAAUCCUGGUCGGACAUCAGGAGGUUAGUGCAAUGGCAUAAGCCAGCUUGACUGCGAGCGUGACGGCGCGAGCAGGUGCGAAAGCAGGUCAUAGUGAUCCGGUGGUUCUGAAUGGAAGGGCCAUCGCUCAACGGAUAAAAGGUACUCCGGGGAUAACAGGCUGAUACCGCCCAAGAGUUCAUAUCGACGGCGGUGUUUGGCACCUCGAUGUCGGCUCAUCACAUCCUGGGGCUGAAGUAGGUCCCAAGGGUAUGGCUGUUCGCCAUUUAAAGUGGUACGCGAGCUGGGUUUAGAACGUCGUGAGACAGUUCGGUCCCUAUCUGCCGUGGGCGCUGGAGAACUGAGGGGGGCUGCUCCUAGUACGAGAGGACCGGAGUGGACGCAUCACUGGUGUUCGGGUUGUCAUGCCAAUGGCACUGCCCGGUAGCUAAAUGCGGAAGAGAUAAGUGCUGAAAGCAUCUAAGCACGAAACUUGCCCCGAGAUGAGUUCUCCCUGAGACUACAAGUCUCCUGAAGGAACGUUGAAGACGACGACGUUGAUAGGCCGGGUGUGUAAGCGCAGCGAUGCGUUGAGCUAACCGGUACUAAUGAACCGUGAGGCUUAACCUUACA
rnacentral:rRNA from 1 species